rnacentral:lncRNA from 1 species
AUUACACCAAUCAUAGAGGAUGGCUCUUCUGGAGGGUACCUGAUUAGUGAUUUUCAUGGUUAAUAUUUUACUGCAGCAUAGCUUUGCAUUACCUUGGCCUAUACAUGUGCCAUUUCUAAUUGUUUGUAUAUAACAGUCCAGAGUUUUGUUUUUGGAAAGCCUGUGAAACUAAAAACAAGCUCAGAGGAAAGAGUACAUGAUCAGUUUGGUGUCUACAUUGAACAAGAGGGAAGAGUGUCCUCCAUGUAUCUGCCGACUGUGAGAUCCUGGCCUAGUGCUAUCCUAUAUAACUUCUGACUGCUGGGAGAAACUCAAAGUUUAGGUGAUGCUGUAAAGCAGACAACCAAGCUUGAAAAGGAAUUUGGGAGUUGAGGAGGAGAGAAUUCAGUGAGAUAGUCCCUGUAAAUACAUUGUACAUUACCUGGACACAUGCAGUAGUUCUGAUAUUGUAUUAUUAUUACCUGGCUAGCUCCUCUGGCAUCCUUAAGGGCUUUUCCUCCCAAGAUCCCUGGACAACCUGAUACUGAAUUUCUCAUGUAAUGUGACAAUUCAUAUAUUCAAUAAAUUUUGGAAAUUUCAGCUCUGCCACAAGAAUCUUCACUAUGACACUGAUGGAACCACAGAGUCCAUGAUAUUGCACCAGAUGCAACCUAGUGCAAAGUCUGGGGGAUGGAGAGAGUGUGGUGAAUGGAGCUUAUUCCCUCAACAUUAAUGAAUCCAUAGUUUUAGACUGUCUCCAAAAUAGGAGCAUAUAUUCACAUCCAUCAAGACCACCUAAUCCCAUCUGAGCUGCCAGAAUGACAAACGCUGCAUGAAUGACCCCAGACUAGACCAACAGAAGACCAUUCACUUCAACCUACCUCAAAUUGCUUAUCCACGGAAUUAUGAGUAAACAAAAUGGUUGUUUUAAAUCACUGGGUUUGUGGUGGUUUGUUAUACAAAAAAUAGAUUAGUAAUAUAAUUUGUUAAACAGUAAUUAAUGAGUGUUUAAUAUGGG